AAUCAACGCUGGCGGCGUGCCUAACACAUGCAAGUCGAACGAGAAAGUGGAGCAAUCCAUGAGUAAAGUGGCGCACGGGUGAGUAACACGUGACUAACCUACCCUUGAGUGGGGGAUAACCUAGGGAAACCUGGGCUAAUACCGCAUAAUACCUACGGGUCAAAGGAGCAAUUCGCUUUAGGAGGGGGUCGCGGCAGAUUAGUUAGUUGGCGGGGUAAUGGCCCACCAAGACGAUGACUGUAUCCGGCCUGAGAGGGCGCACGGACACACUGGAACUGAAACACGGUCCAGACUCCUACGGGAGGCAGCAGUGGGGAAUUUUGCGCAAUGGGGGAAACCCUGACGCAGCAACGCCGCGUGGAGGAUGAAGACCCUUGGGUCGUAAACUCCUUUCGAUCGGGACGAUAAUGACGGUACCGGAAGAAGAAGCCCCGGCUAACUUCGUGCCAGCAGCCGCAGUAAU
rnacentral:rRNA from 1 species